CAGAAACGGAAAUCUGAUAUAGAGCUAGUGAGGCAAUGAAGCCCAGCCUUUGAAAACAGACAGACCUGCCAUGGAGUAAGAGGUAGCCCUGAGGCGAACCCUGCCCCCCACGGCCCACUCCCAGAGUGUGGAGACUUCAGGCCAUUCCCACUCAUCCACGGGGCUAGAAGACUGAAUGUGGCAGCCACCCCCAAGCCUGCUGACCGGCUCCAUAGCAGAGUAAUAUCCAAAGAAAGAGGCUUUGAGGUGUGAAGAGGCCAUGCUGGGGAACCCCAUGUGGCAGGGAACUGUGAGCAGCCUCUUGGAGCUGAUGACAUCCUUGACUGACAGCCAGCAAGAAGCUCUCGGUCCUACUAGAGGAAGGAAUUGAAUUCUGCCAACAACUUAAGUGAGCUUAGAAGUGAGUCCUUACCCACACAAGUCCCAGAAUCACACUGGAUCCUGAAACAAAGCCGGGAACACCACUCAUAGCAACUCUCUAGCUGCAAGGAGAUUUGUUUUCAAAGCAACUGACAAGCUACACCUGAUUCAUCCUCAAAACCGACUUGUCAGGGGAAUAACACCAAGUGUCAGAACUUCCCAAGAAAUCUAGUGAUGAAAAGCCCUUUAACAAUGAACAAAUUAAAUUCAGUUCUAACGCCAGGAACAGAAAGAAAGCGAAAUGAAGAGGCACAGAAGAGCAAGCCCAGGUAUGAUUUUAGA